UCUUAUUUAAACCUUCUAAUUUAACUGGCUCCCUUUGACACUGCUCUGUCAAAGGAAGGGGGCAGUGCCACUUUGUUACUACCAAGUGGAGGCAGAUAUCUAAGUUCCUCUCUCAUCCUGCAUUGCUACUAGAGGGAGAUGCUCCUCACUACUGCUGGGGAGGAGUGAACAUUCCAGCUCCCCACGUGGUCUCCAUGGAGCCUGCAGUGGAGGUGG